rnacentral:rRNA from 1 species
UUGUUGGUAAGGUAAAAGCUUACCAAGGCUUCGAUCAGUAGCUGGUCUGAGAGGACGACCAGCCACACUGGGACUGAGACACGGCCCAGACUCCUACGGGAGGCAGCAGUGGGGAAUUUUGGACAAUGGGGGCAACCCUGAUCCAGCCAUGCCGCGUGAGUGAAGAAGGCCUUCGGGUUGUAAAGCUCUUUCAGCCGGAACGAAACGGUUACGGUUAAUACCCGUGACUACUGACGGUACCGGAAGAAGAAGCACCAGCUAACUACGUGCCAGCAGCCGCGGUAAUACGUAGGGUGCGAGCGUUAAUCGGAAUUACUGGGCGUAAAGCGUGCGCAGGUGGUUUUGUAAGUCAGAUGUGAAAGCCCCGGGCUCAACCUGGGAACUGCGUUUGAAACUACAAGACUAGAGUGUGGCAGAGGGGGGUGGAAUUCCGCGUGUAGCAGUGAAAUGCGUAGAGAUGUGGAGGAACACCGAUGGCGAAGGCAGCCCCCUGGGUCAACACUGACGCUCAGGCACGAAAGCAUGGGGAGCAAACAGGAUUAGAUACCCUGGUAGUCCAUGCCCUAAACGAUGUCAACUAGUUGUCGGGCCUUUACGGGCUUGGUAACGUAGCUAACGCGUGAAGUUGACCGCCUGGGGAGUACGAUCGCAAGAUUAAAACUCAAAUGAAUUGACGGGGACCCGCACAAGCGGUGGAUUAUGUGGAUUAAUUCGAUGCAACGCGAAAAACCUUACCUACCCUUGACAUGUAUCGAAGCCCGCAGAAAAGCGGGGGUGCCCGAAAGGGAACGAUAACACAGGUGCUGCAUGGCUGUCGUCAGCUCGUGUCGUGAGAUGUUGGGUUAAGUCCCGCAACGAGCGCAACCCUUGUCAUUAAUUGCCAUCAUUUAGUUGGGCACUUUAAUGAGACUGCCGG